UUUAUUAUGGUGCAAGUAAAUUGGAACAACCAUAUGGCUAAAUGAUUAUGUGUUUAACAUGGCCAUUCCCAAUAAGGCAAGACUUAAGUGUGUCUUGAAUGUGCCAAUUUGAAUUUGAGGUUGGCUGAUUGGCUUUCCACGUAUUUUCCCAAUAAGACAAGUCUUAAGUGUGUCUUGAAAGUGCCAAUUUGAAUUUGAGGCUGACUGGUUGAUUUUCCACGUGUUUCCCAAUAAGGCAAGUCUUAAGUGUGUCUUGAAUGUGCUAAUAUGAACUUGAGGCUGACUAGUUGAUUUUCCACGUGUUUUCCCAAUAAGGCAAGUCUUAAGUGUGUCUUGAAUGUGCCAAUUUGAAUUUGAGGCUGGCUGGUUGAUGUUCCACGUGUUUUCCCAAUAAGGCAAGUCUUAAGUGUGUCUUGAAUGUGCCAAUUUGAAUUUGAGGCUGGCUGGUUGAUGUUCCACGUGUUUUCCCAAUAAGGCAAGUCUUAAGUGUGUCUUGAAUGUGCUAAUUUGAACUUGAGGCUGGUUAGUUGAUUUUCCACGUGUUUUCCCAAUAAGGCAGUCUUGAAUGUGUGUUGAAUGUGUCAAUUCGAAUUUAAAGUUGGCUGGAAGAUUCUCCAAGUGUUGUGUGGCUGGUUCAUGGUAAGUUUCAAUAGGUAGCCGAAUUUGGAAAUUAUUAAUUCACCUCUUCAAGGCUUUGGACACAUGUUUGAAUUGAGUCAUCAAGGUUGUGUUAACUUCUUGCUGGUCGAGUUUGGAAAGUCUUAAUUCGUCCAUUGUAGCACAUGUUUAUACUUGGUUCGAAUUUGAAUUGAGUCAUCAAUGUGGCCUUAACUCCUUGCGGGCCGAGUUUGGAAAGUCUUAAAUAAGCCAUUAUAGCACAUGUUUGCACCUGGUCCGAAUUUGGAAAGCAUUAAUAAGAACUUCAACGUGUCCAUGCCUAUCCUAGUCACCCACACGGUUGAAAUAGGAUAUGUUCCUUCACAACUUGGUUGGUCACACUUGGCUUAGGCUGGUCAAGACAUCUCCAUAGCUCUUUCUUCAUAUGGCAAUUAUAGGUUACAUGACACAAGGCCAAUAAUGGGCUAUAAAGCUUAAAACAUAAACUAAACUUAUUGUCCAAGUAAAAUAAAACAUAACUUAAAAUAAUGGUGGGACAUAAGACCCCCACUUAUUUAAUGCAAAAAUAAUGUAAAGAUCAUUAAGCCCUUAAGGAAAAGUGACCUCCAUCAGGUGGUUCAUCUAGUUAUAUGGCAUGCUUGAUGGAAUAUUAUUUAUGAAAUUAUUCGAGUACACUUCCACAUUGUUCCUCCUUAGUGAUUUGAUAUGAAUAAUAUUAGUUUCACAACUAGGGCUGAAAACAUGCUAUGUCGCGUGCAAGAAAGGCCUUGUACCUGAUCUAUAAUAGGCCAGACUAUACUAUUUUCAUAAACAAGUUAGACUAAGACUUUUAAAAAAUCUAUUUAACUUUACUGAACAGGUUUUAGACCUUCAAAAAAAGCUUAUUAAACAUUACAAGCCAACAUAUUUAAAUAAACGUAUUCAAAAGCAAACAUAUUAGGGUAUUUAAAGAAGAUUUAUUGACUGGUCGUAAAUUUCUUUUAAAUAGGUAAAUAUGUUAAACCCAAUCUAUUAUUAUUAAACGGAACAUGUUUAAGGUAAAUUUCAACAUGUUUGAACCAUGAAUAGAAUAAGCUAUACAGUGGCAAGAGAGUAAAAGAAGUUUGGUCUUGCAUAUAUUUUGGAAUCAAAUUUUCCAAUUUUGACGAUUCAACCUAUCAAAGUUAGAUUAAAGUGUAUGCAAUCAAUUGGUCAAUUCAUUAGUAAGUUAAAUUUCUUAUAAAUGAUUUGAUAUCAGAGUUGGUGUACAGUUCGGCUGGUAAUGUGUCCAUUAAUUAAUUCUAAUUUAAAUUUUUAAUAUUUAUUCUCUAAUAAUGGAGUAUCUAAUGUUAAUUAAGAUGAUAUAUAAUAAAUGUUAAAUAUUUGAUUUAUGUAAUCGGUUAUAGUUAAUGAGAUUAAUACUUAGUUAUUUUUUAAAAGUGCCUUAUUGUUAUAAGUGUUGAUUAAAUUGAAUGGAUUUGAUCCUAAUUAAUAGAAAGAUAUCCAUAAAUUCAUAUA